AUGUCACUUAUCAUUCAAGUUUUUCUCACCAUGUUAAGAUACACAGUUAAUUCUGUAGUUGCAGGGAUGUUUGCAGAGGAAAAAGAACCAGUUGCUAAAGUAGAGGACGAAGAAGAAGAUGAAGACGAGGAUGAGGAGGAUGAGGUAGAAGUGGAAGAUUAUGAUGAGGAUGAGGAUGAAGAAGAAGAGGAGAAUGAGGAUGAGGUUGAAGGGGGAGAAGAUGAGGAUGAAGAAGAAGCUGAUGAUGAGGAUGAGGAAGAAGAUGAAGAAGAGGACAAGGAAGCAGCAGCAGAGGUUGAGAUAGAUGAGGAUGAGGAUGAUGAUGAUGAUGAAGAGUAUGAGGCUCCCAUUCUGAUUGAUGUUGAUGACACAGAGACAGAAGCUUCUGCUGGAGAUGAUGACAGAGAGGAGGAUGACACCACAGCUGAAGCUGAAACUGAAGCAAUUACAGAUGAGGAUGUCAGUGAUACUGCUGUUGCUUCCAGUGAUGAUGACCAUAAUGAAGAGGAUGAAACCAAUGAUGCCAGUGCUGAAGUCACAGAGGAUGCUCCUGCUUCUACUGCAAAUGACAACGAUGAUGAUGAUUAUGGUAAAGAGGAGGAAAUUGAUGUCACAGAAGAUGUUGUUUAUGACAUCCAGGACGAUGACAUUGACAUUGUUGCAGAACAAGUAGAUGCUGUUGCCUCUUCUGCAGAUGAUGAUGAUGAGGAUGAAGAUGAUGAGGAAGAUGAUAGCAUAGAUGAUGACAAAACAGAUGAUGAUGCUAAACCCAUUGAUCUAGAAGAUGACGAUGAUGACGAUGAUGAUAUCAAGGUCAAUCUUGCUGAUAGUGAGGGUAUUGAUAUCUCAGACACAUUAGCUGAGGAUACAACUGAUGACUCUACAGAUAGUUUAGAGGACACUGAUGAUGACGACGACGACGACAUUGUCAAUGAGGACAGUGGUGCCAUCGUUGAUUCAGUUGACAAAACACUGGAGGAUUCAGGUGAGACUGUUUGUGAUGUCGCAGACAUUUCUGGUGACACAGCAUAUGAUGAUGAUGAGGGGAAGGAUGCAGCUGAAGUGAUCGGCAAAGAUGAUGACAUCACACCAGAAGCCUUUGAUAGUUCUGCUCCUGAGGAAGAUGAUCUAUCCAAGGAUGAAGAAGAGGAUGAUGAUGAUAGCAUUGAUGACCUUCUUUUGACAGGUAUUGAGCAGUAA
rnacentral:lncRNA from 1 species